rnacentral:rRNA from 1 species
AGUCGAACGAUGACUCUCUAGCUUGCUAGAGAUGAUUAGUGGCGGACGGGUGAGUAACAUUUAGGAAUCUGCCUAGUAGUGGGGGAUAGCUCGGGGAAACUCGAAUUAAUACCGCAUACGACCUACGGGUGAAAGGGGGCGCAAGCUCUUGCUAUUAGAUGAGCCUAAAUCAGAUUAGCUAGUUGGUGGGGUAAAGGCCCACCAAGGCGACGAUCUGUAACUGGUCUGAGAGGAUGAUCAGUCACACCGGAACUGAGACACGGUCCGGACUCCUACGGGAGGCAGCAGUGGGGAAUAUUGGACAAUGGGGGCAACCCUGAUCCAGCCAUGCCGCGUGUGUGAAGAAGGCCUUUUGGUUGUAAAGCACUUUAAGCAGGGAGGAGAGGCUAAUGGUUAAUACCCAUUAGAUUAGACGUUACCUGCAGAAUAAGCACCGGCUAACUCUGUGCCAGCAGCCCGGGGUAAUACA